AUGAACGCUGGCGGCGUGCCUAAUACAUGCAAGUCGAGCGAACAGACGAGGAGCUUGCUCCUCUGACGUUAGCGGCGGACGGGUGAGUAACACGUGGAUAACCUACCUAUAAGACUGGGAUAACUUCGGGAAACCGGAGCUAAUACCGGAUAAUAUAUUUAACCGCAUGGUUCAAUAGUGAAAGACGGUUUUGCUGUCACUUAUAGAUGGAUCCGCGCCCCAUUAGCUAGUUGGUAAGGUAACGGCUUACCAAGGCAACGAUGCGUAGCCGACCUGAGAGGGUGAUCGGCCACACUGGAACUGAGACACGGUCCAGACUCCUACGGGAGGCAGCAGUAGGGAAUCUUCCGCAAUGGGCGAAAGCCUGACGGAGCAACGCCGCGUGAGUGAUGAAGGUCUUCGGAUCGUAAAACUCUGUUAUUAGGGAAGAACAAAUGUGUAAGUAACUAUGCACGUCUUGACGGUACCUAAUCAGAAAGCCACGGCUAACUACGUG
rnacentral:rRNA from 1 species